UCACUGAGAGCCCCAGCUCUAGUUUCCACAAACAGGGCUGGAAGACAUCAGAUCUUGCCUUGGUCCUGAGAUGGACUCCAGGCUCUUCUGUGUGGCCUUGAGUCUCCUGUGUGCAAAACACAUGGAGGCUGCAGUCAUCCAAGACCCAAGAAGCAAGGUGACAGUAACAGGAGGAAAGGUGACACUGAGCUGUCGCCAGACUUACAACCACAACUAUAUGUACUGGUAUCGGCAGGACCUGGGUCAUGGACUGAGGCUGAUCCAUUACUCAUAUGGUGCUGACAACGUUGAGAAAGGAGAUGUCCCUGAUGGGUACACGGUUACCAGACCAAACCAAGAGAACUUCUCCCUCAUUCUGGAGAUGGCUUCCCCCUCUCAGACAGCUGUGUACUUCUGUGCCAGCAGUGAUGCACAGCAGUGUGUGGCUGUCUCCUCUCUGCACAUAAAGUAAAUUAGGAAGACAAGUUUCCUGUGUACUCCAGGAAGUCCGUGCCUCUGUAAGAGUUACUGAGCUCUAACAAACCAGGAACAUUUCAGC